UCCUACCGGAGGCAGCAGUGGGGAAUCUUGGACAAGGGAGGCAACGGUGAUCCAGCAAAGCCGCGUGUGUGAAGAAGGCGUUCGGGUUGUAAAGCAAUGUGUCUGGAAAGAAGUACAAGCCUUAAUACGGGGGAGGAUGACGGUACCGGAAGAAGAAGCAUGCUACACG
rnacentral:rRNA from 1 species